CCUCGCUCCCGAGCCGAACGCCGCCACCGUCCCCAAUCUCUGGCCGCCGCCCCCUCCGGCGACUGGAUCCAGAUCCCCCGCCCCCAAAACCACCGCCGAGCCCCGAACGUAGGGACCCUGCCUCCCCGUUCCACUACCCCCGCUACCGAGCACCGACCGCACGGACGCCUCCGCCCCGUCCCCACCAACUCCGGCCCGAUCCUUCACGCCACCGAAGCCGACGUCGCUUGCCGCCCCCGGUCCACCUCUGCCCCGAGCCCCAACAGCUGCAGCACUUCGACGCCCACGCCACCUCUCCCGCAUUCCGUCAAGACGGCGAUGGCGGUGAGGGCACUCGGGCUCGCCGGCCGAGCGCUCCUGCGACCGGUCGCUUCACCGGGCACCCAACGGCUGCUGUCAACUGACAAGAACUCACUGCAGGUCCUUACGAACGGCGAUCCGAUGACCCGCCUCAUGCAAACGCGGAAGCAGAAUGACAGCAUUUACCGUCGCUUUGCUGAAAACGAUUUCACAGGCGGCGGUAGCAGGUCUGGCCGAUUAAACACGGAAAUAACGUGGACAGCGGCUCCGCGAGUAAAGAUAGAUGUUCUACACAUCACACCCAAGGAGGAAAAGACCUUUGUGACCGUGACGGGCGUCAAGGAGAACAGGAAGCCCGGGGCUUCUGCUGGCUGCUUGGAGGAUCGAAAAGGGCGUUCUCGUCUCGCUCGGUACGCCGGUGAAGCAACAGGGAAACACAUGGGGCGAUCCGCCAGCAAGAUUGGCCUCAAGUCGAUCGUCGUGAAAUUGAAAGGAUGUUCCUUUUUCAGGAAGAAGAAGAAAGUGCUCUUGAGCAUUGCAGCCGGUUCCCGAGGUGAAAGAGUGAGGAGCCUUUCUCCUAAAUAA
rnacentral:rRNA from 1 species